GAGGCAGCCUGAGAGACGGCUACCAGUUCUAAGGAACGCAGCAGGCGCGCAAAUUACACAAUGACAGUAAACUGUUGAUGUAGUGACAAGAGGUAACGGGGCGGUCCUCUAUGAGGCCCGUCAUUGUAUUGAGUAAAACUCAAAAUAUUUAACGAAACCAAUUGGAGGGCAAGUCUGGUGCCAGCAGCCGCGGUAAUUCCAGCUCCAAAAGCAUAUAUUAAAGUUGUUGCGGUUAAAAAGCUCGUAGUUGGAUCCAUGACCCCGGAGGGCGGUCCCCCACUGGGUGCGUACUGCUGCUCCGAGUCCUAUCUGUCAGUUUGUCUGCGUUGCCUUUAAUCGGGUGGCACAGGUGACUGACGUGUUUACUUUGAAAAAAUUAGAGUGUUUAAAGCAGGCGUUGAAUGCCUGAAUAGUGGUGCAUGGAAUAAUGGAAUAGGAUCUCGGUUCUAUUUUGUUGGUUCAAGAGCAUGAGAAAAUGAUUAAGAGGGACAGACGGGGGCAUUUGUAUUGCUGCGUUAGAGGUGAAAUUCUUGGAUCGUAGCAAGACAAACUACUGCGAAGGCAUUUGCCAAGAAUGUUUUCAUUAAUCAAGAACGAAAGUUAGAGGUUCGAAGGCGAUCAGAUACCGCCCUAGUUCUAACCGUAAACCAUGUCGACUAGCUAUCUGUCAGCGUUAAUAAUGACCUGACAGGCAGCUUACCGGAAACGAAAGUUUCUCGAUUCCGGGGGUAGUAUGGUUGCAAAGCUGAAACUUAAAGGAAUUGACGGAAGGGCACCACCAGGAGUGGAGCCUGCGGCUUAAUUUGACCCAACACGGGAAAACUCACCCGGCCCGGACACCGUAAGGAUUGACAGAUUAAUAGCUCUUUCUCGAUUUGGUGAUUGGUGGUGCAUGGCCGUUCUUAGUUGGUGGAGCGAUUUGUCUGGUUAAUUCCGAUAACGAACGAGAUUCUAACUUACUAACUAGUUCCACGAUCCUUGUGGUCCUAAAUACUUCUUAGAGGGAAAACCGGCAUUUAGUCGAACGAGAUUGAGCAAUAACAGGUCUGUGAUGCCCUUAGAUGUCCGGGGCUGCACGCGUGCUACACUGAAGGAAUCAGCGUGUUUUUCCCUUGCCUGUAAUGGCUGGGUAACCGACUGAAUCUCCUUCGUGCUAGGGAUAGAUCAUUGAAACUAGUGAUCUUCAACUUGGAAUUCCUGGUACGUUUGAGUCAUAAGCUCAAGCAGAUUACGUCCCUGCCCUUUGUACACACCGCCCGUCGCUACUACCGACUGGCAAUAUCUUUGAGACACUUGGAGCGGCCGUGAGCUACCCUAACCGGUAACUCACGGCUGCGAAAAGGUUCGAAAAGGUUUUGCUGGAGGAAGUAAAAGUCGUAACAAGGUU
rnacentral:rRNA from 1 species